AUUGAACGCUGGCGGCAGGCCUAACACAUGCAAGUCGAGCGAGCGGCGGACGGGUGAGUAAUGUCUGGGAAACUGCCUGAUGGAGGGGGAUAAAUACUGGAAACGGUAGCCAAUACCGCAUACUAUCAGAUGUGCUCAGAUGGGAUUAGCUAGUAGGUGGGGUAACGGCUCACCUAGGCGACGAGCCCUAGCUGGUCUGAGAGGAUGACCAGCCACACUGGAACUGAGACACGGUCCAGACUCCUACGGGAGGCAGCAGUGGGGAAUAUUGCGCAAUGGGCGCAAGCCUGAUGCAGCCAUGCCGCGUGUGUGAAGAAGGCCUUCGGGUUGUAAAGCACUUUCAGCGGGGAGGCGUUACCCGCAGAAGAAGCACCGGCUAACUCCGUGCCAGCAGCCGCGGUAAUAC
rnacentral:rRNA from 1 species